GACGAACGCUGGCGGCGUGCCUAAUACAUGCAAGUUGAGCGCUGAAGGUUGGUACUUGUACCAACUGGAUGAGCAGCGAACGGGUGAGUAACGCGUGGGGAAUCUGCCUUUGAGCGGGGGACAACAUUUGGAAACGAAUGCUAAUACCGCAUAAAAACUUUAAACACAAGUUUUAAGUUUGAAAGAUGCAAUUGCAUCACUCAAAGAUGAUCCCGCGUUGUAUUAGCUAGUUGGUGGGGUAAAGGCUCACCAAGGCGAUGAUACAUAGCCGACCUGAGAGGGUGAUCGGCCACAUUGGGGCUGAGACACGGCCCAAACUCCUACGGGAGGCAGCAGUAGGGAAUCUUCGGCAAUGGACGAAAGUCUGACCGAGCAACGCCGCGUGAGUGAAGAAGGUUUUCGGAUCGUAAAACUCUGUUGGUAGAGAAGAACGUUGGUGAGAGUGGAAAGCUCAUCAAGUGACGGUAACUACCCAGAAAGGGACGGCUAACUACGUG
rnacentral:rRNA from 1 species